AUGAAGAUGGCGACUUGCAUUCGUAAGGUGGCCUCGGAGGAGUUUGGAGUGUCCAGGCAAAGGAGAAGCGAAGCUAAGGAUACCUGGUGGUGGAAUGAUGAUGUCCACAAGGCGAUUAAGGAGAAGAAAGAUUGUUUCAGACGCCUAUACCUGGAUAGGAGUGCAGACAACAUAGAGAAGUACAAGAUGGCGAAGAAGGCCGCAAAGCGAGCUGUCAGUGAAGCAAGGGGUCGGGCGUAUGAGGACCUCUACCAACGGCUAGGCACGAAGGAAGAUGAAAGGGACAUCUAUAAGAUGGCCAAGAUCCCCGAGAGGAAGACGGGGGAUGUUGGCCAAGUCAGAUGCAUCAAGAACGAAGCAGACCAACUCCUGGUUAAGGACGAGGAGAUUAAGCAUAGAUGGCUGGAGUACUUCGACAAGUUGUUCAAUGGGAAGAAUGAGAGUUCUACCGUUGAACUGGACGACUCCUUUGAUGAGACCAACAUGCAUAGAGUCUGA
rnacentral:rRNA from 1 species